ensembl:snRNA U6 U6 spliceosomal RNA
GCUUGCUUCAGCAACACAUAGACUAAAAUUGAAACGAUACAGAGAAGAUUAGCAUGGCCCCUUUGCAAAGAUGACUUGCAAAUUCAUGAAGCAUUCCAUAUUUUC